rnacentral:rRNA from 1 species
UACGUAGGGUGCAAGCGUUGUCCGGAAUUAUUGGGCGUAAAGAGCUCGUAGGCGGUUUGUCGCGUCUGCCGUGAAAGUCCGGGGCUCAACUCCGGAUCUGCGGCGGGUACGGGCAGACUAGAGUGAUGUAGGGGAGACUGGAAUUCCUGGUGUAGCGGUGAAAUGCGCAGAUAUCAGGAGGAACACCGAUGGCGAAGGCAGGUCUCUGGGCAUUAACUGACGCUGAGGAGCGAGAGCAUGGGGAGCGAACAGG